UACGUAGGGGGCAAGCGUUAUCCGGAUUUACUGGGUGUAAAGGGAGCGCAGACGGACUGCCAAGUCUGAUGUGAAAUGUCGGGGCUCAACCCCGAAGCUGCAUUGGAAACUGGUAGUCUAGAGUGCAGGAGAGGUAAGUGGAAUUCCUAGUGUAGCGGUGAAAUGCGUAGAUAUUAGGAGGAACACCGGUGGCGAAGGCGGCUUACUGGACUGUAACUGACGUUGAGGCUCGAAAGCGUGGGGAGCAAAC
rnacentral:rRNA from 1 species